UUCUUAUCAAGAGAGACGGAGGGAUCGGCCCGAUGAAGUCUCAGCAACCAGCUCAAUCAGUAUGGUGCUAAUUCCUUUUGGCAAAAUCUAAGCCUGAAAGAUGAGAA
rnacentral:ncRNA from 15 species